rnacentral:lncRNA from 1 species
CAAAUCGAUGAAUUCGAGCUAAUUAACAACAUAAACAAGACCAAGAUACAUGUCGACAAUAACUAGGCUUAGGAGGAAACCAGUAAAAUCCGAUAAGCAUCAUUAACCCACUGUCAGGCUCCAGGACCCGGCGUAAGCCCGCCCGGUGCGUGCGCAGACCCGCCAUAUGCCUGCACAUAUAAGGCGUCUACAAUAAAAGUGAUAAAUAACCCUGUGACACAAACAUCUAGAGAUAUCAGAGCGAGUAUAUAACUAAGUUUUAUCAACAAGGAGAAUCAAAG